GUGAGUCUGGUUUAGGGUUAGGGUGGGGUUAGUCAGAGGGGAACUGGCCCCCACAGUGAGUCUGGUUUAGGGUUAGGGUGGGGUUAGUCAGAGGGGAACUGGCCCCCACAGCGAGUCUGGUUUAGGGUUAGGGUGGGGUUAGUCAGAGGGGAACUGGCCCCCACAGUGAGUCUGGUUUAGGGUUAGGGUGGGGUUAGUCAGAGGGGAACUGGCCCCCACAGCGAGUCUGGUUUAGGGUUAGGGUGGGGUUAGUCAGAGGGGAACUGGCCCCCACAGCGAGUCUGGUUUAGGGUUAGGGUGGGGUUGGUCAGAGGGGAACUGGCCCCGACAGAGAGUCUGGUUUAGGGUUAGGGUGGGGUUAGUCAGAGGGGAACUGGCCCCCACAGUGAGUCUGGUUUAG